AGACACAGCUCAGUGGUGCAAGCUUCCCUUCUGGCCAACACUCCAUUGCAGAGCUUGGUGACGAUGCCCAUGACUUGGAAGCCAAUGUUUUCUCUUCAGACUUAUACAGAGAUGCCGAAUUGAGAGCAGAGUGUCAGUCAUUUAUUCCCACACCAGACAGCCCUGCACAUGAGGUGCACUGUGUCAGGGGCCAGUGUAGCACUUCGAGUGCAAAAGAGGGGAUUGGAGAAGUUAGUGUCCAGCCGCAGGAGGUGUCACCCCCUGUGUUCUCAACAGACUUUGCCAGUGAGACCAAAUCGAUAUUGGAAUGCCAAUCAUCCAGAUCCACACCAAACG